AAUGUUCCAUUAAAUGCUAAAUUUUAGCACUAAGUAUCAUAGAAAUUUUAAUUGUGUGUAUGUAUUUGCUUAUGCCUCUCUUAACUGAGAAUUUCCAGAAUUUUUUUUAUGAAUUACUAAUAUGCCAUGAACCUCAAAUAUCUUAAAAAUCUCUUUGAGAUACACUGAACUAAUUUUUCCAAAAUAUGUGUUUUCUGAUUUAAAAUCUUGUCAUUUAAAUUUUGUGUUUUUUAAUUGCUUGUAACUCAUGGAACACCUAAUAUAUGAAUUACUCUUUUAAUGUUUAUAAUACACUGAUUUUAUGACUUGUUCAGGGAAUAUAAGAAUGGUUUUAAUGACAAUAUAUUCAGAAAUUAAUUUGAUUUCACAGAAGAAAUACAAUUGAUCAAUAAGUUUAUGAAGAAAGGUUCAACAUCUUUAGGAAUUAAAGGAAUGCAAAUCAAAACAACACUAAGAUUUUUCUCUCACUCCUAGUCAAAAGGGCAAUCAUCAAGAAUACAGGCAACAAUAAAUGUUGGCAAAGAUGUGGGGAAAACGUACAAUCAUGCAAUGCCUGUGGGACUGCAAAUUGGUGCAACCACUAUGGAUAGGAAUAUGGAGAUUCUCCAGAAAAUUUGAAUGAAAUCACCAUUUUAUCCAGGUAUUUUACUUCUGGGUUUAAAGCCAAAAAAUUAAAAUCAGCAUACUGCAGUGAUGCAGCCAUGUCAAUGUUUUUAGGAGCUCAGUUCACCAUAGCUAAACGGUGCAACCAACAAAGCUGUCCUGGAUAAUGUGU
rnacentral:lncRNA from 1 species